AUGAACGCUGGCGGCGUGCCUAAUACAUGCCAGUCGAGCGAACAGACGAGGAGCUUGCUCCUCUGACGUUAGCGGCGGACGGGUGAGUAACACGUGGAUAACCUACCUAUAAGACUGGGAUAACUUCGGGAAACCGGAGCUAAUACCGGAUAAUAUAUUGAACCGCAUGGUUCAAUAGUGAAAGACGGUUUUGCUGUCACUUAUAGAUGGAUCCGCGCCGCAUUAGCUAGUUGGUAAGGUAACGGCUUACCAAGGCAACGAUGCGUAGCCGACCUGAGAGGGUGAUCGGCCACACUGGAACUGAGACACGGUCCAGACUCCUACGGGAGGCAGCAGUAGGGAAUCUUCCGCAAUGGGCGAAAGCCUGACGGAGCAACGCCGCGUGAGUGAUGGAGGUCUUCGGAUCGUAAAACUCUGUUAUUAGGGAAGAACAAAUGUGUAAGUAACUAUGCACGUCUUGACGGUACCUAAUCAGAAAGCCACGGCUAACUACGUG
rnacentral:rRNA from 1 species